AGCCUUGAGGUGUCAACACGUAUGAUUGCAAAUCAUAAAUAGCAGAUUGGUUCCUGCCUGGGCUU
rnacentral:tRNA from 1 species